UCGGAUGUGGUGUACGGUGCACAUCAGAUUAAUAUAGCCUGAAUAUUUGGUAUGUUGAAAGCCGAAGGCCGGGGUUCGACUCCCCGCAUCCGAA